rnacentral:rRNA from 1 species
UACGAAGGGGGCUAGCGUUGCUCGGAAUCACUGGGCGUAAAGCGCACGUAGGCGGCUUUCUAAGUCAGGGGUGAAAUCCUGGAGCUCAACUCCAGAACUGCCUUUGAUACUGGAGAGCUAGAGUCCGGAAGAGGUGAGUGGAACUGCGAGUGUAGAGGUGAAAUUCGUAGAUAUUCGCAAGAACACCAGUGGCGAAGGCGGCUCACUGGUCCGGUACUGACGCUGAGGUGCGAAAGCGUGGGAG